rnacentral:lncRNA from 1 species
GCCCAUUUGAGCUCCAAGGAAACUAUAAGAACAGGAGUUAACAUGGCCGCCAUUCCCUAGGACCCCCCCUAAAGACAACUACCAGAUCCAGAAUGUAUGGCUUCCUCAAUCCGUGUGACUGAUCCAGGCCUUUGCUCAGGAGAGCGCUCUCCUCUUCCUCUUCCUGAAUGUGAGGAUUCUCCUGGCAUCUCCUGGGGAUUGCGAGCGAGUGCUGGUGGUCCAAGAGGACAAGGAAAAUAUUUGUGUGGAGGAGCAAAACUGCUAAAUGAAUUAUGAUCAGAGUUUAACAGUGAGCGGGAGAAUGUGUGGGAAAGCUCCGAAGCUCGACGGCCAUUGCGGAUUAAAGGAUCAUCACUUUCUGCAAACCACACCGCCCUCCAAACUUAACAGUAUCACAAUGCUUCUGGAAGCAAAACACAGCUAAUCCCCUGAAGAUAAUUCCACUGGUUCCUGCUCUCAGUCAGCGGAGAUGAGUGGGGUAGAAUUCAGACAAACAGCACGGAUCAUAAAAGCUGUCAAAUUAUUCUGAAGGUGAACACGCUGAGCCGGGCUUAUCUCUCGCUGGGGACAGUUUCAGUCUCAG